rnacentral:lncRNA from 1 species
CCUCAGAGUUUGGUGGCAGCAGGAUUGAGAUGGGUGCUACUUGGAUCCAUGGAAUUGGGGGUAGCCCUGUUUACAAGAUUGCUCAGGAGAUUAACUCACUGGAAUCACACCAGCCUUGGGAGUGUAUGGAUGAGUUCUUGGAUGAGCCAUUGACUAUAGCUGAAGGUGGACAUGACCUCAAUUCUUCCAUUGUUGACCCCAGAUCACAGCAGCCAUGGGAGUGUAUGGAUGAGUUCUUGGAUGAGCCAUUGACUAUUGCUGAAGGAGGACAUGACCUCAAUUCUUCCAUUGUUGAGCCCAUAUCCAAUCUUUUCAAGAAGCUCAUGGAUUUUGCUCAGGGGAAGGCUAUUGAAGAUGGUGUGUGCAGUGAAUUUG